rnacentral:sRNA from 1 species
AAUUAAUAUUACAAAUCUUUAAACCAAACAUUAAAAUAACGCGCACCUGGUAUCUUCGAAUUGGCCAUUGAGGAUAAUAAACGUUGGGACGGUUAAUAUAAAACGCAAAAAAUGUAAAAAUUAUGGGCAAUACCCGCAUAAUUUGUAAGGAUUACGUACAAAUAUACGCAAAAAGAGUGAUUUUACGGCGAACCCCAGAAAAUCGCCUUUAUCGACCAUGUUGGGAAAUAUUAUGGGAUUAUAUAAAUUACCCCGAAAAACAUAACGGAACAAAACACCCAUUGGUAAUUGAAAAUAUUUUUUGCGGUUUAAUUUAUAUUAUCCCUAUAUAAUCCCGUUUAGGGCCUAAAUUUUUUAAUAUUAUUAGAAAUUUCGAAAAAUAGGCUCGGAAACAAUACGGCUGCAUUAUUUGCAAAAUACGGAACGAUAUAAAUCCGGUAAUAAUAUUAAAUAAAUUCCAAAAUUUGAAAAAAUACGAAAUUUGGGUAAAAAAGGAGAAAAUUAAACUAAUAUUUAACCUUGCGAAUAUAUACGAAUUUAACGGGAAAAUUAAAUAAACAAACCAGAAAAUAUAAACCAAAUUUCUGGCAAUGUUAUUCGGUGCGCAUUUUCCCACUAAUUUGUGGCCGGAAACGGCGAAAACGGCCGUUUGGUUAAAUAAUAAAUUAUUUCGCGCAAAAUUAAAAUUUAAAUUACCGAUUCAAAUUUUAAAUAAAUGGAUAGUUACGCAUUUGCAAACCAUUUAUAAUUAUUUACCCGCAAACGAAUAAAUACCAAAAAAAAUAAUAUAAAUAAAUAUAAAUUUUUAUAAUACGGCGUGGUUGCGUAUAAAUGCAAAAUUUAUAUAAUAUACGAGGGACAAUUAUAAAAUAUAAACCGCAAAUAUUAUAAAAUUAACGCAAAAGCGUAUAUCGGUUAUUUUAUAGGAUACGUUUCAAAUACCAUUUACCGGAUUUGGGUUCCGUUUUUGCGUCGCGUAGUUAUAAUUCGCGACGUAACGUUUAACGAAUUACUAUUUUUUAAUUUUAUAAAUAAACAAAACACCGUUUUUUCCCGAAAUAAUCCAAUUUACCGUCGAUAAAUUGGAUAAAAAAACUAAAUAUGCCCAAAACGUUGGAAAUUUCGUUAAAUUACCCGUUGAAAAGGAAAAACACACAAUUAUCCCUAUAAUUGCGGAUCGAAUACCAGAAAAAGGCCGAAAAUAGGAUAUUGGUUUUAAAACCCCAAAAAUUACAUUUAAACUUUUCAAAGGCCCGGAAAAAGAAAUUUUAACAAAAAAUAUUUCCGGAAAUUAAUACCGUAAUAUGGAUUAUUAUAGCGUUAACAAGGUGGAAAAACCAUUUUCACCACUAUAAUAAAAUUAUCCACCAAAAAUUUAAAUAAAUAUAAAAGUCCCAUUACAAAUCGCAAUAAAACGCCGCGGUAAAUUAACAAAAUUUGCAAACAAAUAAUAAAAUCCGCCAACAAGGAAAAACAAUCGAAAUAACGACGAAAUAAAAGGGAUAUUUGCAAUUUUUAUACAUAUAAACAAAACAAUUAUUAAAUAAAAUUGGCGAAAUUUUAAAAAAAUUAUAUAUUAUAACCCAAAAUAUAAAAAUAUGCAAAUUAUAAUAUAUAAUAUUUUCGCAAUUGCUACCAAUUCUUUUAAAAAAUAACCAAUUAAUUCCAAAAAGGAAAAGAACAGGUUUUAAUAUAUAUAACGCGGAAGGUUUCAGGCAUUCGAACAAUUUUCCACCGCCAUCCAAAAAUUAUAAAACCAUAUUUAAAUAUCCAUUAAAAAACGAUUUUUUAUACGCAAUAGGCGAUAAAAUGGCCAACCUCCACGCCAAAAAGGUUUACAAAAAGGUUCGAUCCACAAAAUACCCGAAAGGAAUUAGGUUUAUAUUAUUUAAAUGGGUUUUUUUAUAUAAAUUUAACCAGGACGGUUACGUAAUUAAAUGCAAAAUACGAAUUUGCGUUAAAAGCGAUUUGCAAAAAAUUAUAAUCGGAAAUAUAUAUGCAACAAUUUUCGCCGCUAAAUUAUUCCGCACGGUAUUAACUAUAAUUGCGGAACGAAAUAUGGAAAUAAAAUAAACAAAUAUAAAAAAGCCUAUUUUAACGUUAAAUUCGCCCAAAACCAGGAACUAAUAUAUUAUUUAUUACCCCCAAAAUAUAAAAAGGCAAAUAUAUUUAUAUAAUAUAAAAAAGUCGGCUUUUUUAUAAUAUUAGCGGUUUUCCAAUUUUUUCCACAAUUUUGGCCUAAAACCAAACGUAAAAAAACUAUACCUGUUUUAUUCCAAAAAUUA